rnacentral:rRNA from 1 species
CCUACGGGAGGCAGCAGUGAGGAAUAUUGGUCAAUGGGCGAGAGCCUGAACCAGCCAAGUCGCGUGAGGGAGUACUGCCCUAUGGGUUGUAAACCUCUUUUGUCGGGGAGCAAAAGCCGGACGUGUCCGGCUGUGAGAGUACCCGAAGAAAAAGCAUCGGCUAACUCCGUGCCAGCAGCCGCGGUAAUACGGGGGAUGCGAGCGUUAUCCGGAUUUAUUGGGUUUAAAGGGUGCGCAGGCGGAUUUUUAAGUCAGCGGUAAAAUCGUGGGGCUCAACCCCAUCCAGCCGUUGAAACUGGGGAUCUAGAGUGUGCGAGAGGUAUGCGGAAUGCGUGGUGUAGCGGUGAAAUGCAUAGAUAUCACGCAGAACCCCGAUUGCGAAGGCAGCAUACCGGUGCACAACUGACGCUCAGGCACGAAAGCGUGGGUAUCGAACAGGAUUAGAUACCCGUGUAGUC